UCACUAAAACACACACUAAUGUAAUCAAACAGAGACUUGGAUUGGGUAGAGGUCCGAGCAACAAGCGAAUUAAUUAUUUGACAUGAGUUUUCAAACUAUCGUCCCAGAUAGGAACAGCGAAAAUGCGAAUGGAAUCAGAAUAAGUAGCUAGCUAGCUAUUUAUGCUACACGCAUAGGAUUUGCUCUCGACGAACGGCCUUCAGUUCUGUAUGGAACUGCAGAAUGUGCCUUACACACACCAGUCACCAUGAGGUUACCAAAGUUGGCCAGUGUUUUUGUCUUCUUUGGCUGCCUGGCAGCUUACCUGAUGUUUGUUAAGCGCCACUAUGAUGGUGUAAGGCCAGCCAUCUCCAAAAUGCCACCUCACUUCCCACACAGAUUGGGCUUGUCGGGCAGUCCCAACAGACCGACCACCUCAGAAGUGGUCAGCGGACGUUUCCAGUAUGGCGUUAUGUUUGAUGCUGGGAGCACAGGGACAAGGAUCCAUGUCUUCAAGUUUCAACUGGAGGACAACGGUACAGUACACGUGUGCAGAGAGGCUCCUAAAUUGGCACAUGAAACAUUCAGAGCAAUAAAACCAGGUUUAUCUGCAUAUGCUGAUGACCCAGAAAAGUGUAAAGAAGGGAUCCUGGAGCUGUUGGCUGUGGCCCAAGGCAGCAUUCCCUCCUCUGUAUGGAGCAGCACUCCUCUGGUCCUCAAGGCCACUGCAGGCCUCCGUCUUUUGCCUGGGGAGAAGGCCACACACCUACUGGACAGGGUGAGGGAGGUGUUUGGGGAGUCUCCAUUCCUGUCCAGAGGGGACAGUGUGUCCAUAAUGGAUGGCACUGAUGAAGGGAUCUCUGCUUGGAUCACUGUCAACUUCCUCACAGGGGGUCUCCAUGGCUCUGGCACACCCACUGUGGGGAUGCUGGAUUUGGGAGGGGGGUCCACCCAGAUCACCUUCUCCCCCCAGGAUGAGAAAACCAUCCAGACCUCACCCAUCAACUACAUUACAUCAUUUCAGAUGUUCAACAGCACCCACACACUCUACUCACACAGCUACCUUGGUCUAGGCUUGAUGUCGGCAAGACUAGCUAUCUUGGGAGGAAUCGAGGGACAGCCUUUAGAGGGCGCCAGCACCGAGCUAGUAAGCCCCUGCUUAGCCCCGGAAUACUCUGGCCAAUGGGAACAUGCAGAAGUUCUGUAUACUGUGAAGGGCCAGAAGGCAGGAGAGCCCAUUUAUGAGUCAUGCCUUAGGAAAGUGGAGAAGAUGCUGUACAGAAAGGUGACGAAGGCAGGGGAAGCCAAAGAUAUGGAAUUCUAUGCCUUUUCCUACUACUAUGACAGAGCUGUGGAUCUGGGUGCUAUUGAUGAGAAAACAGGAGGGACUAUAAAAGUCAGCGACUACAUUGAUGCUGCCAAGAGAGUGUGCAACGGAAUGCCGGUUACUUCAGGAGAGAAUCCUUUCCUUUGUCUGGAUCUGACCUACAUCUCUGGGAUGCUGCAAGAGCUUGGUUUUCCCAGAGAUAAAGUAUUUAAGCUGGCGAGGAAGAUUGACGAAGUGGAGACUAGCUGGGCUCUGGGGGCUACUUUCCACUACAUCGAGUCCCUCCGCAGUCAGUGAGCUGCCAGUCUCUCCUCUCACUCGCCACUGCCAUGACGUGCCAGUGAUUCUGUGCUGCAAAGUAUGCUCUGGGAAAAUGCCCCCCGGUGAUUGUACCUGUUCUUAAGUUUGAUCAAAAUGAUCUUUCAGACGUCUCCAAUUCCCGACAGUGAGUCAGUGCAGUUUAUCACCCAUCGGUUCAGCAACAAAGUCCCCUGAGAAGCGGUCAACAUUUCUACAAGAGACAGCUGUGCAAUGAUAACCUAGUUGUUUGACUACUAGUCUGUCUACCCUCACUCACCCUAAUAACAGAUCUAGUUGUGUCUAUGAGCCAUAGGCCUAAAUCUUGCACUUAAUAUUCCAGUAGGUCUAAACAUGUUGAAAUAACUAGCAGAGAUGUUCACAAGUCUUUGAGGUCGAAGUCAAGUCUUUUAGGGCCAAGUCUAAGUCAAGUUUCAAGUCCCUUUUUGUAAUGGCUUUCUGCCUGCUGUGGGUUAGGUCUAUAAACCUUGUAAAUUAUU